rnacentral:rRNA from 1 species
UACGGGGGGGAGCAAGCGUUGUUCGGAUUUACUGGGCGUAAAGGGCGCGUAGGCGGCCACCGCAAGUCAGUUGUGAAAGCUCUGGGCUUAACCUGGGAGGUGCGUCUGGGACUGGUUUGCUAGAGAUCGGGAGAGGAGAGUGGAAUUCCUGGUGUAGCGGUGAAAUGCGCAGAUAUCAGGAAGAACACCCGUGGCGAAAGCGGCUCUCUGGGACGGUACUGACGCUGAGACGCGAAAGCGUGGGGAGCGAACAGG